AACGCACCUUGCGCCCUUUGGCUAUUCCGAAGGGCAUGCCUGUUUGAGUAUCAUGAACACCUCAACUCUCAUGGUUUGCCAUGAUGAGCUUGGACUUUGGAGGUCUUGCUGGCCAGCGGUCGGCUCCUCUCAAAUGAAUCAGCUUGCCAGUGUUUGGCGGCGCCACAGGUGUGAUAACUAUCUACGCUUGUGGUUUCCCGCCAGGUUUCCUUCAGUGAUGGAGGUUCGCUGGAGCUCAUAAAUGUCCCUCCCCAGUGAGGACAACUUCAUGAAUGUUUGAUCUCAAAUCAGGUAGGACUACCCGCUGAACUUAA
rnacentral:misc_RNA from 1 species